GAUGAACGCUGGCGGCGUGCCUAAUACAUGCAAGUCGAGCGAACAGACGAGGAGCUUGCUCCUCUGACGUUAGCGGCGGACGGGUGAGUAACACGUGGAUAACCUACCUAUAAGACUGGGAUAACUUCGGGAAACCGGAGCUAAUACCGGAUAAUAUAUUGAACCGCAGUGUUCAAUAGUGAAAUACGGUUUUUCUGUCACUUAUAGAUGGAUCCGCGCCGCAUUAGCUAGUUGGUAAGGUAACGGCUUACCAAGGCGACGAUGCGUAGCCGACCUGAGAGGGUGAUCGGCCACACUGGAACUGAGACACGGUCCAGACUCCUACGGGAGGCAGCAGUAGGGAAUCUUCCGCAAUGGGCGAAAGCCUGACGGAGCAACGCCGCGUGAGUGAUGAAGGUCUUCGGAUCGUAAAACUCUGUUAUUAGGGAAGAACAAAUGUGUAAGUAACUAUGCACGUCUUGACGGUACCUAAUCAGAAAGCCACGGCUAACUACGUG
rnacentral:rRNA from 1 species